UGAAAAUAUAAAACACUUUACACAGAAACUACCAAACUUAUACUACUAUUACACAGAAAAAAAAAUUAAGUUAAAGAAAUGUACAAAAUUUGAAGUUCAGAAUGAGAAUUGAGGAACUCAAGCAACGACAUUUUUUGCAAAAACAUUUGACCAUUGCAUACAAACACUAUCUUAUUCUUACAUAUUCAUCUUUCUGCAACAACAAGUACAAGAUGCACACAAAUGCAAAUAUGAACAGAGAGUAGGGGAAGCUUGCAGUCUGUUGUUUAUGUCAACAUUUGCUGGGAUGACAAGAAACGCUCCCACAUUAACCUCACGUUGUCUUUAAACCCAUUGUAGAUGGAAUCAGUAUCAAUCUUCCCAUCCUACGAUUGAAAUAAAAAAUAAUUAGCACAUUUUAAUGAAAGGCGAAAGAUGACAAAUGCACCACUAAUUCAGUAUGAGCAUGGAGACAAGGAUAUAGGAAAUAGUGUGCAAUAACAAUCAUGAAACAGAUUUAUAGUUGCUGAACUGAUAAAGUUUAUGUUUCCAAACACUAGUCCUGGGACUGAAGCAAUUAACAAACUCAAGCCACUCUUCCAUCCAAUGGUGAUCGUAAAACCAAAGUGCAAGAUACGUAUAAGUCAUAAGCUGGAAACUCAUUUUUUUAAAAUUAAAUUUAGUCCAAGAUACGCAAUAGGUAAAAUUCACUCAUCACUUGAACUGAUACCAUUUAAAUGCAAAAGUUCAUUGACGACAGAAUGAAUAUGCUAACAUGAAGGGACAACUGUAUGCGCACUAAAAAGAGCUCUUGCAGAUAAUCCAUUAAACUAUAUGGAUAAGCUUGCUAUCCGAUCGACAAAAUCUUCUUUCAGAAUUUUUUUUGUAAAGCAAUCUCCAAGAAAAAACCCUUCAGCAUCUAAUAGUAGAAGUAGAAAAUUACAGUAAAGGUGUGAAGAUAAUAUUAGCAUUAACAUCGAGGUGGAACAGCAAAAAUUUCAAUCUCUAUCCAAUCAUAUAAAAAGAUAGCACGUUAAGUGAUAGAAGUUAAAUUUAAAGAAAAAAAUAUAGGAGAAAAAAUAUGAGAUGAAAUGAACGUAGUAGAUUAAUAUUCACAUUCAUAUCAACC
rnacentral:lncRNA from 1 species